GACGAACGCUGGCGGCGUGCUUAACACAUGCAAGUCGAACGGAAAGGCCCUGCUUUUGUGGGGUGCUCGAGUGGCGAACGGGUGAGUAACACGUGAGUAACCUGCCCUUGACUUUGGGAUAACUUCAGGAAACUGGGGCUAAUACCGGAUAGGAGCUCCUGCUGCAUGGUGGGGGUUGGAAAGUUUCGGCGGUUGGGGAUGGACUCGCGGCUUAUCAGCUUGUUGGUGGGGUAGUGGCUUACCAAGGCUUUGACGGGUAGCCGGCCUGAGAGGGUGACCGGCCACAUUGGGACUGAGAUACGGCCCAGACUCCUACGGGAGGCAGCAGUGGGGAAUAUUGCGCAAUGGGCGGAAGCCUGAUGCAGCAACGCCGCGUGCGGGAUGACGGCCUUCGGGUUGUAAACCGCUUUCGCCUGUGACGAAGCGUGAGUGACGCUAAUGGGUAAAGAAGCACCGGCUAACUACGUG
rnacentral:rRNA from 1 species